rnacentral:rRNA from 1 species
GACAGAGGGUGCAAACGUUGUUCGGAAUUACUGGGCGUAAAGCGUGUGUAGGCUGCCAUGCAAGUCGGAUGUGAAAGCCCUGGGCUCAACCCAGGAAGUGCACUCGAAACUGCGUGGCUUGAGUACUGGAGAGGUUGGUGGAAUUCUCGGUGUAGAGGUGAAAUUCGUAGAUAUCGAGAGGAACACCGGUGGCGAAGGCGGCCAACUGGACAGAUACUGACGCUGAGGCGCGAAAGCGUGGGGAGCAAACAGG